rnacentral:rRNA from 1 species
CCCUUAGAUGUCCGGGGCCGCACGCGCGCUACACUGAAGGAAUCAGCGUGGCUUUCUCCCUGACCCGAAAGGGUUGGGAAACCCGUUGAAUCUCCUUCGUGAUAGGGAUUGGGGCUUGAAAUUGUUCCCCAUGAACGAGGAAUUCCCAGUAAGCGCGAGUCAUAAGCUCGCGUUGAUUACGUCCCUGCCCUUUGUACACACCGCCCGUCGCUACUACCGAUUGAACGGUUUAGUGAGGGCCUCGGAUUGGUCUCGGCCCGCUCUUUACCGGGCGGCGCCGUUGGUCGAGAAGACGCUCGAAGUUGAUCGUUUAGAGGAAGUAAAAGUCGUAACA